GAGCAACACCCAUGCGCCGGUUACACCUCUACCUACCGAUGUUCGGAAUAUUUGCCCUACACUUUUGACAUGAAGCAAAAAAAACCAAAUCUUCGUCCUGGAUCCCUACGACCCGCUACCUCGUUGCCGGCGAGCUCUUAAAACUGGAAACACGCCCGUUCUCCACUCGAAGGGCGAGAGGAAAAGGAGAAUAAAGCGACGCUCCGCCUUCUCUUCGGACCCAAAGGGUUCCCAAGUGGCGGCGACUCCGGCGGCAGCGAUGGUGGUGCCUACCGGCGGCGGCGGGGCUGGAGGAGGAUCGGCUCUUCCAUCAACACAUCAUUGGCGACCAAGUAAUUAAUUAACCCCUAUUUCUCCCUUUCUUUAAUCACCUUUUGUGCCCCCCUCCCGCUGCCGAAUCGCCAUCCUCCGCCACCGUCUCCUCCUCUCCUUCGCCAUCCCCCGAUCCCAAACCCUAAGCCCUAAUCCCUCUACCUGAAUCCUCCGCCGCCUCCGCCGAUGGUCUCGAUUGAUUCUUGGGCUGUCCGAUCCGAUUAUCCUUCGAAAUCGUCCGAUCCUUGGUUCCUUGCAUCAACUCCGAUUCGCUGAACGCAGGAAAGGACGGCUUCUUUUCGCUUGUUCGAUUGUCGGAGUUUGGAAGGAACAAAUUCACCAAAACAAGGAAGCAAAAGCGGUGCCUUUCUUUGUAAAGUUUCCCUUGAUUUUAGGUUUUUCUCUGUUAGGGAUUGGAAGAAAAUGGUUUCUUUCUUAUAUUUUUUAGCGACUUCUGCCCAAAUUUUGCUAAAAUACUGUUUUCAAGCUUCCUUUCUCCAUUCUAAAGACGGUGCAAGGGCAUCUGAUGGAUUCACGGUCUUCUACUUCUUUUAGAUUGAAAGUCAUGAUUUUGUUUGGUGGUGCUCCCGAUAUGGGUAGUUCUUAACUGGAUUGAAGAAUGAGGACACUUACAACGGGUGCUUGGUAAAUUUUGAUACCUGGAUGACAUUCACCUCCCGGAGGUUAUUUGUACUUCAAAGGUGAUAGCUUGAUCUUCUCUGCAUGCCUUGUGGGUUGAAUGCCGCUCUACCAGGGCCUAAGUCAGUAUGCUGUGGUGUUUGUUACGAUCGCUAUAGGUCUUGGAGGAUGCCUGAAUGUUGUAUAUGUCUGGGGACGCAAUCAAAUAUCUCCAGGUUCCAGGUAUUGUUAAAAGGAGGUCUUCAUUUAGAGGAUCAGAUGCAAUUGUCGAAAGAAAAGAAAACUAUCCUGGCCUGCAUGCCUGUUUUGCAUUGACUUCAGAAAAAGCAAUAUUGAAUGAUUAUUUGUAAAGUCCCACAGUUAAUGAAGAUUUCUUCUGGGUUUUCAUAAUAAAAUAUGUCAUCAUUUUCAUGGUUAAAAUGAGGAUUUUCCCUCUAAUUAACUGACACUAGUGAAUGAUCAUUUGUGGGAUGCCUGCGAGUUGUUUCUGGGCUUUUAUCUUUUUCCAAUACAAUGUAUGAUCCUUCAAUCAUUUCCAGUGUUUACAUUGAGGAUAUUACAUGUAAUUGAAACAGUAUUUAGUGAUUGUU